AUUCAGGUCCAAGAAGAGGAUCUUGAAGUACACCCAUUGGAGUUAUAGCCAAAUCUAAUGGAACCACCAGUAGUAUCCCAUCAGAUGCAUGAUUAGAUGAGAAAAUUCCAAACCCUUUACUGGAUUCACUGUAUUUGAUUCUGCAACCACGUAGUUCUGCUCUGUUUAACUUUAGCCAUUGAAGAAACUGGUGGAGCUUAGCUUCUUCAGGAGUCGCCAUUGCCGAAGACAGUGUUGGAG
rnacentral:misc_RNA from 1 species